UAGGGAAUCUUCCACAAUGGGCGCAAGCCUGAUGGAGCAACGCCGCGUGUAGUGAAGAAAGGUUUUUCGGAUCGUAAAGCUCUGUUGUAAGAGAAGAACGUGUGUGAGAGUGGAAAGUUCACACAGUGACGGUAACUUACCAGAAAGGGACGGCUAACUACGUGCCAG
rnacentral:rRNA from 1 species